rnacentral:rRNA from 1 species
UACAGAGGGUGCGAGCGUUAAUCGGAAUUACUGGGCGUAAAGCGCGCGUAGGCGGCUUUGCAAGUCGGGUGUGAAAUCCCCAGGCUUAACCUGGGAACUGCAUUCGAGACUGCAUUGCUAGAGUAUGGGAGAGGGAAGUGGAAUUUCAGGUGUAGCGGUGAAAUGCUUAGAUAUGACAUAGAACACCAAUUGCGAAGGCAGCUUACUACACAACGAUUGACGCUGAGGCACGAAAGCGUGGGGAUCAAACAGGA